rnacentral:rRNA from 1 species
GUCUGACGGAGCACGCCGCGUGAGUGAUGAAGGUUUUCGGAUCGUAAAGCUCUGUUGUUAGGGAAGAACAAGUGCGAGAGUAACUGCUCGCACCUUGACGGUACCUAACCAGAAAGCCACGGCUAACUACGUGCCAGCAGCCGCGGUAAUACGUAGGUGGCAAGCGUUGUCCGGAAUUAUUGGGCGUAAAGGGCUCGCAGGCGGUUUCUUAAGUCUGAUGUGAAAGCCCCCGGCUCAACCGGGGAGGGUCAUUGGAAACUGGGAAACUUGAGUGCAGAAGAGGAGAGUGGAAUUCCACGUGUAGCGGUGAAAUGCGUAGAGAUGUGGAGGAACACCAGUGGCGAAGGCGACUCUCUGGUCUGUAACUGACGCUGAGGAGCGAAAGCGUGGGGAGCGAACAGGAUUAGAUAC